UGCUACAGCCAUGCCACCCUGAACAUGCCCGAUCUCGUCUGAUCUCGGAAGCUAAGCAGGGUUGGGCCUGGUUAGUACUUGGAUGGGAGACCACCUAGGAAGACCAGGUGCUGUAGGCG
rnacentral:rRNA from 1 species